rnacentral:rRNA from 1 species
UACGGGGGGUGCGAGCGUUGUCCGGAAUCACUGGGCGUAAAGGGCGCGUAGGCGGGAUGGCAAGUCGGUCGUGAAAUCCUUCGGCUCAACCGAAGAACGUCGGCCGAUACUGCCGUUCUUGAGGGAUGCAGAGGAGAUUGGAAUUCCCGGUGUAGCGGUGAAAUGUGUAGAGAUCGGGAGGAACACCGGUGGCGAAGGCGGGUCUCUGGGCGAUCGUCCUGACGCUGAGGCGCGAAAGGCGUGGGGAGCAAACGGG